UGAGGAAUAUUGGUCAAUGGGCGAGAGCCUGAACCAGCCAAGUAGCGUGAAGGAUGACUGCCCUAUGGGUUGUAAACUUCUUUUAUAAAGGAAUAAAGUCGGGUAUGCAUACCCGUUUGCAUGUACUUUAUGAAUAAGGAUCGGCUAACUCCGUGCCAGCAGCCGCGGUAAUACGGAGGAUCCGAGCGUUAUCCGGAUUUAUUGGGUUUAAAGGGAGCGUAGAUGGAUGUUUAAGUCAGUUGUGAAAGUUUGCGGCUCAACCGUAAAAUUGCAGUUGAUACUGGAUAUCUUGAGUGCAGUUGAGGCAGGCGGAAUUCGUGGUGUAGCGGUGAAAUGCUUAGAUAUCACGAAGAACUCCGAUUGCGAAGGCAGCCUGCUAAGCUGCAACUGACAUUGAGGCUCGAAAGUGUGGGUAUCAAACAGGAUUAGAUACCCUGGUAGUCCACACGGUAAACGAUGAAUACUCGCUGUUUGCGAUAUACGGCAAGCGGCCAAGCGAAAGCGUUAAGUAUUCCACCUGGGGAGUACGCCGGCAACGGUGAAACUCAAAGGAAUUGACGGGGGCCCGCACAAGCGGAGGAACAUGUGGUUUAAUUCGAUGAUACGCGAGGAACCUUACCCGGGCUUAAAUUGCAGAUGAAUUACGGUGAAAGCCGUAAGCCGCAAGGCAUCUGUGAAGGUGCUGCAUGGUUGUCGUCAGCUCGUGCCGUGAGGUGUCGGCUUAAGUGCCAUAACGAGCGCAACCCUUGUUGUCAGUUACUAACAGGUUCCGCUGAGGACUCUGACAAGACUGCCAUCGUAAGAUGUGAGGAAGGUGGGGAUGACGUCAAAUCAGCACGGCCCUUACGUCCGGGGCUACACACGUGUUACAAUGGGGGGUACAGAGGGCCGCUACCACGCGAGUGGAUGCCAAUCCCAAAAACCUCUCUCAGUUCGGACUGGAGUCUGCAACCCGACUCCACGAAGCUGGAUUCGCUAGUAAUCGCGCAUCAGCCACGGCGCGGUGAAUACGUUCCC
rnacentral:rRNA from 2 species